rnacentral:miRNA from 1 species
UAACAUAAUAGUGUGGACUGA